GAUGAACGCUGGCGGCGUGCCUAAUACAUGCAAGUCGAGCGAACGGACCAGAAGCUUGCUUUUCUGAUGUUAUCGGCGGACGGGUGAUUAACACGUGGAUAACCUACCUAUAAGACUGGGAUAACUUCGGGAAACCGGAUCUAAUACCGGAGAAUAUUUUGAACCUCAUUGUUCAAAAGUGAAAUACGGUCUUGCUGUCACUUAUAGAUGGAUCCGCGCUGCAUUAGCUAGUUGGUAAGGUAACGGCUUACCCAGGCUACGAUGCAUACCCGCCCUGAGAGGGUGAACGGACAGCUGGGAUGUGAGAAACGGUACAGACACCUAGGGGAGGACGCAGUAGGGAAUCUUCCGCAAAGGGGGAGAGCCUGACGGAGCAAAGCCGCGUGAGUGAUGAAGGUCUUCGGCUCGUAAAACUCUGUUAGUAGUGAAGAACAUAUGUGUAAGUAACUGUGCACAUCUUGACGGUACCUAAUGAGAAAGCCACGGCUAACUCCGUG
rnacentral:rRNA from 1 species